rnacentral:rRNA from 1 species
ACGGAAGGCAGCAGUGGGGAAUAUUGGACAAUGGGCGAAAGCCUGAUCCAGCGACGCCGCGUGAGUGAAGAAGUAUUUCGGUAUGUAAAGCUCUAUCAGCAGGGAAGAUAAUGACGGUACCUGACUAAGAAGCCCCGGCUAACUACGUGCCAGCAGCCGCGGUAGUACGUAGGGGGCAAGCGUUAUCCGGAUUUACUGGGUGUAAAGGGAGCGUAGACGGUUUGGCAAGUCUGAAGUGAAAUGCGGGGGCUCAACUCCUGAACUGCUUUGGAAACUGUCGAACUAGAGUGCAGGAGAGGUAAGUGGAAUUCCUAGUGUAGCGGUGAAAUGCGUAGAUAUUAGGAGGAACACCAGUGGCGAAGGCGGCUUACUGGACUGUAACUGACGUUGAGGCUCGAAAGCGUGGGGAGCAAACAGGAUUAGAUACCCUGGUA